ensembl:lncRNA
AGCCAGUCAAACACACUACAGAUCCUCACACUACAUAGGGACAAGCCACUGUUGGGUGUGCUUGCUUUUCGUAAAACCCCUUCACAUAAAACAAAAAGAAAGGGAGAUAUGUUGGGAGCAAUGCUACAUAAUUCUAGGGAAAAAUCAUUUGAGUAGGCCUAGUUCUCCUGCCUACAGCCCAGCUAGGACAUUCCAGACAUAACUGCAUCUUGGCCUCGGGUCACAACUGAGACCUCAGUGAUCCCCGGAUGCUGUCAUCUCCAGGACAAGACCACACCUGUGGGAGAUGCCAGAGAGGAACCAAAUCUUCAUCUGCAUAAUUCCUCAUUGUUCUUAGAUUUCCCCUGCCCCCCAGCCUUUUGUUACACCUUGUCUAUCCCAAUGUAAAGUACUGAACUCUAUAUUUCACUUGUUACAUCUGUUUCCCCAGGUACUGAAUAAAAGGUGCUGCAAGCUAGGGGGUCUUUGUCUUUGCUGCCCAGAGCAGCACUGAUCAGACCCAAAGCUCAGCUUCUUCUCAGUCUCAUUUGUCUACCUUUCCUGUAAUGCGCCGUGUGCUGCCGUGGCUCACAGGAGACUAGGACUCACUGCAGAGGUUCUGGUAUGAAGCCUGAAGAACAGAGAGUACAUUUUUUGGGAAAAUGCUUACUGUAAAUCCUGGGACUCUGAAGAGGUUAUUCUGACAAGUCAUUUUCCCUGGUGUGUCUUUGAUGUCUUUUCUUAAGGGUAAUGUUCCUAUGUGCUCAGUGGAGACAAUUAUUGCCUGUCUAUGUGAGCUGCUUUUUCAAGGAAGGAAAUGACUGAAGAAAUGGGAACGCUGUCAACAUUGAGAUGAAUAUGAGGGACGGAGGGAUAUGUUUGUUUUAAAGAAAGAAAUAAAACAGCAUUUGAAAUUUUUUUUAGAGUGUGAACUUUUUCCAGGCUAGAUCCAGGUGCAGGACAGACAGAAGAGCCAGCUGCUAUCUGUAAACCAGGAAGAGACCUCACCAAGAACCG